CCAAUAGCGUAUAUUAAAGUUGUUGCAGUUAAAAAGCUCGUAGUUGAAUUUCGAGAUCAAAUUGUUGGUCGUGCCUUGGUACGUACUGGCAUUAUUGGUUUCUCCCUUCUGACGAACCAAGAUGUCAUUAAUUUGGUGUCUUGGGGAAUCAGGACUGUUACUUUGAAAAAAUUAGAGUGUUUAAGGCAGGCUCGCGCUUGAAUACAUUAGCAUGGAAUAAUGAAAUAGGACGUUUGAUUCUAUUUUGUUGGUUUCUAGGAUCGACGUAAUGAUUAAUAGGGAUAGUUGGGGGCAUUAGUAUUCAAUUGUCAGAGGUGAAAUUCUUGGAUUUAUUGAAGACUAACUACUGCGAAAGCAUUUGCCAAGGAUGUUUUCAUUAAUCAAGAACGAAAGUUAGGGGAUCGAAGACGAUCAGAUACCGUCGUAGUCUUAACCAUAAACUAUGCCGACUAGGGAUCGGAUGAUGUUAAUUUUUUAAUGACUCAUUCGGCGCCUUACA
rnacentral:rRNA from 1 species